AAAAAAAAAUAAAACAAAGAUUUGAUAAAUUAAAUACAAAUAAAACUAAGUCAUUUAACGAGAAUUAAUAGAUUUAAAAAAUAAAUAAAUUUUACAGUGUCUAAGAAGAUAGAAUUCUAUUACCUAUUAGAAUUAUAUUAGAAAUAUAAAAAUCAAUAAAACUAAAUAAAAUUUAAAGUGCGCGCACACACAUAUAUAUACCAAUGUAAAUGUUUAGAUUUCUUUUGUAAAUAUUGCCCUCUUUCUCCAUUCAGGAA
rnacentral:misc_RNA from 1 species